GACGAACGCUGGCGGCGUGGAUUAGGCAUGCAAGUCGGACGGUAGGGCUUUAUCGUAAGAUAGAGUUUGAGAGUGGCGAACGGGUGAGUAACACGUAGGAAUCUACCCUUAAGACGGGGACAACCCAGGGAAACUUGGGCUAAUACCGGAUGAGAGUGCGAGAGAUUGCAUUUAAAAGGAUGGCGAAAGUUGUCGCUUAGGGAUGAGCCUGCGGUCUAUUAGUUAGUUGGUGAGGUAAGAGCUCACCAAGGCGAUGAUAGAUAGGCGGCCUUAACGGGUGGUCGCCCACACUGGGAUUGAGAUACGGCCCAGACUCCUACGGGAGGCAGCAGUCGAGAAUAGUCUACAAUGGCCGGAAGGCUGAUAGUGCGACGCCGCGUGAACGAGGGAGCCCUUCGGGUGUAAAGUUCUUUUCUAUUACGAGCAGUGCUAUAUAUAAUGGAUAGUAUAUAUAGAGGGAUAGUAGUAUAGGAAUAAGGCAAGGCUAACUCCGUGCCAGCAGCCGC
rnacentral:rRNA from 1 species